CCUACGGGUGGCAGCAGUGAGGAGUAUUGGUCCAUGGACGAGAGUCUGAACCAGCCAAGUAGCGUGAAUGAUGACUGCCCUAUGGGUUGUAAACUUCUUUUAUAUGGGAAUAAAACAGGGUAUGCAUACCCUCUUGUAUGUACCAUAUGAAUAAGGAUCGGCUAACUCAGUGCCAGCAGCCGCGGUAAUACGGAGGAUCCGAGCGUUAUCCGGAUUUAUUGGGUUUAACGGGAGCGUAGGUGGUUUGUUAAGUCAGUUGUGAAAGUUUGCGGCUCAACCGUAAAAUUGCAGUUGAAAAUGGCAGUCUGGAGUACAGUAGAGGGGGGUAGAAUUCGUGGUGUAGCGGUGAAAUGCUGAGAUAUCACGAAGAACACAGAUGGCGAAGGCAGCUCCCUGGACUGCAACUGACACUGAUGCGCGAAAGUGUGGGUAGAAAACAGGAUUAGAGACCAUAGUAGUC
rnacentral:rRNA from 1 species